rnacentral:rRNA from 1 species
CCUACGGGAGGCAGCAGUGAGGAAUAUUGGUCAAUGGACGAGAGUCUGAACCAGCCAAGUAGCGUGAAGGAUGACUGCCCUAUGGGUUGUAAACUUCUUUUAUAUGGGAAUAAAAUGUUCCACGUGUGGGAUUUUGUAUGUACCAUAUGAAUAAGGAUCGGCUAACUCCGUGCCAGCCGCCGCGGUAAUACGGAGGAUCCGAGCGUUAUCCGGAUUUAUUGGGUUUACAGGGCGCGUAUGUGGAUUGUUAAGUCAGUUGUGAAAGUUUGCGGAUCAACCGUAACAUUGCAGUUGAAACUGGCAGUCUUGAGUACAGUAGAGGUGGGCGGAAUUCGUGGUGUAGCGGUGAAAUGCUUAGAUAUCACGAAGAACUCCGAUUGCGAAGGAAGUUCACUGGACUGCAACUGACACUGAGGCUCGAAAGUGUGGGUAUCAAACAGGAUUAGAUACCCUUGUAGUC